rnacentral:rRNA from 1 species
GAUGAACGCUGGCGGCGUGCCUAAUACAUGCAAGUCGAGCGAACAGACGAGGAGCUUGCUGCUCUGACGUUAGCGGCGGACGGGUGAGUAACACGUGGAUAACCUACCUAUAAGACUGGGAUAACUUCGGGAAACCGGAGCUAAUACCGGAUAAUAUAUUGAACCGCAUGGUUCAAUAGUGAAAGACGGAUUUGCUGUCACUUAUAGAUGGAUCCGCGCCGCAUUAGCUAGUUGGUAAGGUAACGGCUUACCAAGGCAACGAUGCGUAGCCGACCUGAGAGGGUGAUCGGCCACACUGGAACUGAGACACGGUCCAGACUCCUACGGGAGGCAGCAGUAGGGAAUCUUCCGCAAUGGGCGAAAGCCUGACGGAGCAACGCCGCGUGAGUGAUGAAGGUCUUCGGAUCGUAAAACUCUGUUAUUAGGGAAGAACAAAUGUGUAAGUAACUAUGCACGUCUUGACGGUACCUAAUCAGAAAGCCACGGCUAACUACGUG